GUGGAGAGAAGGAGCCCAACAGCCGAGAGGGGAGGGAGGGCAGAGGAGGGGGACCAGGAAAGACACCCCCGUGCCCCGAAGACCCACAUUCCUGAGUGCCCAGGAGGAGCCUUAACAAGCGGCGCGGAGCCCUUCAAGGCUGCUAAGUUGGCUGUCACAGCGCAAGGCUUGGAGUCCCAAUGGGGGACUCAGGAUCAAGACGAUCUACCCUGGUCUCCCGGUUGCCAAUAUUCAGAAGAAGUAUUAGCAGAAGGCAUGAUUCUCUUCCUUCUUCACCCUCCUCCAGUAAUACAGUUGGUGUCCACAGUUCCUCUCCUUCCAGCACUAAUUCAAGCUCAGGUAGUACAGGUAAACGCAGGAGCAUAUUCCGUACUCCUUCCAUUAGUUUCCACCAUAAGAAAGGAGGUGAACCUAAGCAAGACACUACCAACCAGAACCUUAGUAUUUCAAAUGGUGCUCAAUCUGGUCAUAGCAGUAUACAAAAACUGAGUUUGGAAGAACAUAUUAAAACCAGGGGAAGACAUUCUGUUGGUUUUAGUAGUUCACGAAAUAAGAAAAUAACGAGAUCCUUGACAGAAGAUUUUGAAAAGGAAAAGGAGCACUCAACUAAUAAGAAUGUCUUUAUAAAUUGCCUAAGUUCUGGCAAAAGUGAAGGGGAUGAUUCUGGAUUCACAGAAGAACAAACUCGCCGUUCUGUUAAGCAGUCAACAAAGAAGCUACUCACUAAAUCUUUUUCAUCUCACUAUAAAUUUUCUAAGCCAGUUCCACAGAGCCAAUCCAUUUCAUUGGUACAACAGUCUGGAUUCUCAUUGGAAAUAACACAGUACCAGGAGAGAGAACCUGUAUUAGUAAGAGCUUCUCCAUCUUGUUCUGUGGAUGUAACAGAACGGGCAGGAAGCUCUUUACAAUCACCCCUGCUUUCUGCUGAUCUUACAACAGCUCAGACACCUUCAGAGUUCUUAGCCUUGACUGAAGAUUCUGUGUCUGAAGCAGAUGCAUUUCCUAAAAGUGGAAGCAUGGCAUCCCACUGUGAGAACUUUGGCCACAAUGAUUCUACCUCUCAGAUCUCUCCCAAUCCUGCUGCUGUUACAAAGACAACAAUAGACCUUAUGGGAACUGUUCCCUGUGCAAUUAUGUCUCCUGGGAAAUACAGGUUAGAAGGCCGAUGUAGCACUGAAUCUAAUUCCUUACUAGAAACCUCUGCUGCUAAUCAGAAGGAAGUGUUAUUGCAAAUCACUGAACUACCUGUUAUGAAUGGGAACAAGUCAGAGACUCAUCUAUCAGGAGAUAUGCAAAGAGAAGAACAUAAGGUAGUACAAAAUGGUGAAACAAUGUUGGCAACAAGCUCUCCGAGGAAACUUGGAUUUUAUGAGCAACAUAAAGCAAUAAGUGAUCGUGUUAAAGGGAUUCAUCCUAUUUCAGAUUCAAGGAUAAUACCCUCUUCUGGUGAUCAUCAUAUUUUUAACAAAACAUCAUAUGGAUACGAAUCAAAUCCUGCCAAAGUUCUUGCCAGUAGCUUCAGUCCAUAUCGUGAAGGGAGAUUUAUAGAGAGGCGAUUGCGAUCCUCAUCUGAAGGAACUGCAGGGAGUAGCAGAAUGAUUUUGAAACCAAAAGAUGGAAAUGUAGAAGAAGUGAACAGUCUAAGAAAGCAAAGAGCAGGUUCAUCAUCUUCAAAAAUGAACAGCAUGGAUGUUUUGAAUAAUUUGGGAUCUUGUGAACUGGAUGAAGAUGAUCUAAUGCUUGAUCUGGAAUUUUUAGAGGAACAGAAUCUUCAUCCUUCAGUUUGCCGGGAGGAUUCAUACCAUUCUGUAGUCUCAUGUGCUGCUGUGGUCCUUACUCCUAUGGAACCAACCAUAGAAAUGAAGAAAAGAGAAGAACUAAAAUUUCCUGAACCUUCCAAACAGAAUCUUUCCCUGAAAUUAACAAAAGACAUUGAUCAGGAAGUCAGGUGUUCCCAUAUGAGCCGAAUGCCCCCCAGUCCAUCUGCAGAUUGGCCCCUGCAAGGUGUGGAAGAAAAUGGAGGCUUAGACUCUCUGCCUUUCAGAUUGAUGUUACAGGACUGCACAGCUGUCAAGACAUUAUUAUUAAAGAUGAAGAGAGUUCUUCAAGAGAGUGCCGAUAUGAGCCCAGCAAGUAGCACAGCUUCACUUCCUGUUAGUCCUCUUACUGAAGAGCCCUUGCCUUUCAAGGAUAUAAUGAAAGAUGAAUGCUCAAUGCUGAAGCUGCAGCUGAAAGAGCGGGAUGAACUCAUUUGCCAACUUCAGGAAGAGCUGGAAAAAGUCCAGCAUUUACAGAAGGCUUUUGCUUCAAGAGUAGAUAAAUCCACACAGACUGAACUUCUAGGCUAUGAUGGUUUGAACCUGAAAAGACUGGAGGCAGUACAAGGAGGGAGAGAGGGCACAGCUUAUGGAAGUGCUCCUGUACCUUCUCGCAGGCAAUUAUGUGAGUCUCUUAAAUUCAGCUCUGUGUUGUAACCAUGGCUAUGUGUUCCUGUGCUGUAGCAUGGCAUGCUGAGACCAAGUGCCCUAUGGUCAAUAUGCAAUCCCCGAUGUUGUAUAUUACCUACAAUGUGUUCGUAGCAAACGGUUGGUUCCCUUUGCCUCUUCCUUAUCUGUUUGUCAUUAUCCAGCCCAUUUAAGAAAACCGCAUUGCGAUGUGGCCAAGUGUGUUGAAGCUUCAGUAAUGACUCAAAGUCUGCGGCAAAUAUAGAAGAGGCUCUUAAGUUUAUUUUCAGUGCAACCGUGAUAGCAACAGUGAUAGUACUUUCUGUGUCAAAUGAAUCAGUAAGGUUUCUUAAAUCCUAACUUCUUUUUACAUACUUGUUCCCAGAGCUCUUAUAUCAUACACAGCUGUGUUUUUGCCACACAGCUAAUGAGACCUCUUUCCUUGAAAUGGAAAUCCAUUGAAAUAAAUCCGUUUCUAGUGAAUUUAAAGAAAAUUUGACUUUCUAACCACUUUAGUUUAUUUCCAAGUCAUCAUAUUUAGAAAAAUUGAAAAUAGUCUAUAAAUUUUUAGAUAGAAAUCCCGGAUUUUACAACCUUGCUCAGCUGUAUUAUAAAUAUAUGCACCUUGGCAGAGAGUCAGAUAUUUGCACUUCAGCUCAGGAGAUUUCUGUGACAGCUUGUCUGCUUUAACAUGAACUUUUUUCAGUGAGAGAUGUAUAUGUAAAUUUAAUAUGUAGAAUCUCCAAAGUGCCAUCAGACUUUGAGAAAGAGCUAUUUUCAUUGCCCAUUUCCAUUCAUGUCUUUCCUCUUUUUCCACACAUCAGAAAAUCAUGGCUGUUUACCACCUUUUAUAGACUGCUGCAGCAAUAAACCACGUGAUUCUAAGUAUGUGGAGCAAUAAAUAGCAAAUAGGUCCAUCUUAAUGUGAUUUUGAAGGUGAUUCAAAGCCACAGUACUGUGUUUAUAAUGCUUUUCUUCCCUAUCGGCAGAAGAAACAUACAAUUUGAUCACAUCCACUGAGGAGGAUCUGUGAAUCAAUUACAAAAUUGCAGCACUUUGCAUCAUUAUAAAACUGCUCAAACAACAAUCAAAAUAUGCACUUUAUUAUCUCACAUUUCAUGAAAGACUUUUGAAUUUCUGAAUUAUUAUGAAUAAGGUUGUGGCAGAAAGAUUUGCUAUAAUGAAUAGAAGAUUGAAUUUAGAUAUUGCAUUGAAGAUAGAAGAAUAUCUAUUGUUAGGGAAAUAUAGGAGGUAUUGUUACUAGAAACUUUUGGAAAUGUGAGUUCAUUAUAAGUGUUCUGAAAAUAAUUAUGAGUAGGAAAAUAAAGAAUAUGGAAGUAUAAUCAAAAAUUUGGAUUAAUCUUAUUUCUCACUUUCACAGAAUCAAAGUGCAUAGGAAAAUAAUAUUAAAUAUUUGAGAUUUCAAAUAAUUUGUUCUGGUUAAAUAACAGUUAAUGCUAUUAAAAACAGAAUGAAAAAAAAAAUGAUGCAUGGUUUGUCUAAGUAAGAGAAUCUAAAGUUGAAGUGUAUUCUGUGCCUCAAUAUAUAAACCAAUAUGGAUAUUACCCUCCUAAACAUGUGGACUUGGAAAUAGUAAGCUUAAUGAAUUUGGAUAAUUAUGAAUAUCAUAUUUCCUUUUGGUCAUGUUAAGUCUUAGGAUCUCUGAGUUACGUAUUAGUGGAGACUUAAGUAUUUGUAAUUGUGGUGCUUAUCAAAGAUAUUAUAUUGAAAGAGUGAAUGUUUUAUUCUACAUAUGAAUGUCAGAAUAUUGAUUUUAAAUAUCUCUAUUCCUGCCUUGUUCCCUAAAAUCAAUGUGAAUUUUAAGAUUUUAAGAUAUGUGGAUAUCUUACAGUUGGCUACUCACUCUAGUAUUUUACAUUAGUGACUAUGUCAGAAGUGGUGACUAACACUUUCUCUAGGUUACAAUUAACUAAAGUUUCAUUCUUUCUUUUUUUUUCUUUUUUUUUUUAUAUUUAGUAUCCAGGACUUCUUUGUUCUAUAGCUGCCACUUUAUUUUGAAAUAUAUCCAGUUUCACAAUUUCCUUUGGUGAUAACCCGAAACAGAAUCUAGCAACACAGAGGGAUUGCUUACAUGAUGAGGUAAUUAGAAAGACUAUGAAUAUAUAAUGAGAGAAUUUACAUCUCCAUCUCCCUAAGCAUGAUGUGGCUUUUAAUUACAAGCCCACUCCAAUAUGCCUGUAUUUGCUACUAAUAAUUGAUCAAAGUUAAAUUGAAAGUAAUAUAGUCUUAGUUAAUACUUUUCACUUUCAGAGAAAUGCUUGCGGAAUGAUUAACUUGGGGAACUGGGAGUCUUGAAAAUUUAUUUGAAUGUAAACAGUACAGUUUUUGUUAAAUACUAAAAGGAUAGAUCAUCUAUUCAAAUGAUGUUGACUUCUUAAUUUCAAACUGGUUUCUGGUUUAAAAAUCUAUAAUCAAUUUAGUGAGUAAAGGGUUAUCUUAUGCUUGUAAGACCAACUCUAUAUUUGUGUGAGUUGAGAUUUAUAAUAUUUGAAAAAAAUUUUGCAAAGAUCUGACCCAUACAGUAUUAUCUCAACACUUCAAAAUAUAGGAACUGAUUAACAUAGGUUAUUAUUUUCUAUUGUAUGCUAUACUAAAUACUAUAAGUGUUCUAAAUUACACAGCAUACACUUUUUUUUUAAAUAUGAAAUUUAUUGUCAAAUUGGUUUCCAUACAACACCCAGUGCUCAUCCCAACAGGUGCCCUCCUCAAUGUCCAUCACCCACUUUCCCCCCUUCUCACCCCCCAUCAGCCUCAGUUUAUUCUCAGUUUUUAAGAGUCCCUUAUGGUUUGUCUCCUUCCCUCUCUGUAACUUUUUUUUCCCCUUCCCCUCCCUCAUGGUCUUCUGUUAAGUUUCUCGGGAUCCACAUAACAGUGAAAACAUAUGGUAUCUGUCUUUCUCUGUAUGACUUACUUCACUUAGCAUAACACUAUCCAGUUCCAUCCACGUUGCUACAAAAGGCCAUAUUUCAUUCUUUUUCAUUUCCAAGUAGUAUUCCAUUGUAUAGAUAAACUACAACUUCUUUAUCCAUUUGUCAACUGAUGGACAUUUAGGCUCUUUCCAUAUUUUGGCUGUUGUUGAAAGUGCUGCUAUAAACAUUGGGGUACAAGUGCCCCUAGCACAGCAUACACUUCUAACAGGAAUGUGUCUUACCUUUUUUCAAAGGAAUAUCCUAAAAUUUCAUAAACCAGCUCUAAAAUUUAAUAAACCAUAAAUAUAUUUUUGUAGAAAAAUUGUGAACAUCGUAUUGCAAAAUGCAUGCAACAGUUCAAAAAUUUUUUGGUUAAAAUAAUUAAAUGUAAAUGUUUUUCUUUCAUUUCAUAGCAUGGCUUUAUUAUUUCUCAAUUUAUAAAAAGGAGUAUCAAAUAUUUAUAUGCAAUCUAUUCAGAGGUAUUUACCUAAUUUAGUUAAGUCAUCUCCAGAUAGUUGAAAGUCAACUUAAUUGAAAUGGCUACACAUGAUAAUAAUAUUACCUACCUAUUCAGAAUCAGAUAGAAGUUGCCUUUAUAAUACAAAUAGAACUAAACCGUAUGUUUACAACAUACACUUUUUUUUUUUACUGUUUGAUAAAUAGGUAGAGAAUUAGCCUAAAAAUAAAGGGAAACAAUUUAGCUACAUAUAAUUGAAAGGCUAAAUGUUUCCAUAGGACUUUUCACAUUGUACUUCAAUCUAUCCUUGAAAAUACAAAAGUAUUCUAUGAGACAGCAAUCAUUGUUAUUCAGUUUAUCAAAAAAAAAGUACAUGUUCAGUUUUUCAAAGUAUGUUUCCCUCUCAUUUGCUUUAGCUUACUUACCCUAAUUUUCAAUCAUUUCUUUUUUUGCUUUGCUUUUAGAGCUGAAAAGUGAUUUUUAAGUUCCAAACGAUUUCAUCAGCAAGUGAUGAAAAACAACAAAUUAAGAGGAAAGGCAGGAGAGUAAACUAUAAUGACAUUAAUCUUAAAGUCAGAAAGAAGGUUUUUAAGAUGCUAGGCUGUAUUUGUACAAACAGAUUUUUCAAAUUAGUUUUUCCACUGUGCCUUCUGAUUUAUUCCCUUUCCUUUUUGGUUUAUCAAUUUAUUUGUUGUCAUUUCCCUUUCUUUUCUGACUCUUAUCAUCCCACACAAUAUCUUUGCAUUAUUUAUCUUCCUAUUUUAGGUGUAACUUUGAUUUUACUUGUUUUCCUCAUUCUUUGAUCUACUUAGAAAUAAUAAAGGAACAUAUUUCAACAAUAGUGAGAAAUAACAAAACUUUACUAUCACUACCUUUGAAAUACACCUUCAGAAGUCAUGGCUGGUAGGGUUGCUUCAAAUGUUACAUGAGCAAAAUGGCUCUGUAUUCUUAGAAAGUGCAUUGUGUCUAUGUUUGCAGUUAAAUGUACAUAUACAUCUGGGAAUGAGAAAGUUCUGUUCUUCAGAAGACAGGUUUCAGUCACAAAGAGAAUAGCAAGAAAACACUUUAAGUGGCAUGAAGAAAUUAUUAAUAUACAACUACUAGGAGACAAACUAGUAUAAUUGAUUACUAGAAAUUAGAAAAGAUCCAAAAGAAAAGUGUAAUCUAUGUUAUAAUCUUACAGAAGUAAAACUCUCAAUAUUGUCAUUCUUUUGAAACCAAACUAAUGGUUGGUUUACAAUUGAGCUUACAAUUUUGAGCUCCUAAAAAGUAAAAGCUAUACUCAUUUAACACAAAUAUGUGUCAUCUCCUUUGAUUUAUAGACAAUCAUGAUUAUUAUUCUAGGUUAUUGAAGUUAUUUAGAUAAUAAAUAUAUGCUAAAGCUAUAUGUAGAUGUUUGGUUUAACUUGGGAUGUAAAAAGCUAGAAAGAACCUGGUUCCCACCCUUAUGAUAACAACAACAAAAGAAAAACCUGAAAAAAUAUAAAUCCACAACAUUUUUUCAAAUGUCAGGGAGCUACAGUAACAGGGCAACCAAGUUACCUGAGACAGAAGUAAAAUGACAGUUUACAAGGAGAGACUAGAUACAGCAAAGUUAGGUAACGGUAAGAAUUCUGUUAAUUUCUAAUUAACAAAUUGGUAGGGGUCGAAUGUGGGCUAGCAAGAGGAUGUAAGUAUAAUGAGAAUGUGCACCCACUUAUAGGCUCUUCUUUACAGAUUUCACUGGAUACUCACAACAACAUCUUGCAAGAUUCCUGAGAAAGUGUUCCUUGAGCUAACGAUUUAAAGAAGGGAAUAGCAGCUGCUGUAGGAAAAGCACAAAACUCCACCCAGGUUCUCCUUCCUAUUAUCCGUACAAAACAGACACCCAAAAUACAGGGAGAACAGCAGACCCACUGAUGAAAACUCACUGCAGUUGGGGCAAUAGAAAAAAAAAUCUUUUAUUCCUGAGACAGGGGCAGGAAUAUAUGAUAAUCCCAGAACUACAAGCAGGUGGGGAGGCUGAAGCACUGAAAGGCUGCAUCUGUGAGACCCAAGGACACAGUGCCUGCCUAAGAUUUAGGGUUAAUCACAGGAGCAGAAAAUGCCUCUCUCUAUGUGCCACAGACUAACAAGCACUGGGUUAUCAGUAAUAGAGGAAUUUGGGUAGGAAUAUUACAACAAUAUGGAGAGAAGCCCUCCUGGAGACACAGCACAAAGGAGAGACUAAAGAUGAAAGUGGAGCCAACAGUUAGAAAAACCCUCUGGCAAACUAUCCCGACCCUAAAUGAAAGGUGUGGUUAGAGAAAAUUGAAGCCUGUGGGUACCUGUAGCAACAAUAACAAACCCAGUUCAACUCUGCCUAGACUGACCUAGAUUCCCAUACCAAACCUCUGGCAGAAGGAAUGACAUGCCUAUUUUCAGGAAUAUAGUUUAUUGACCUAAGUCUCUACACCUUACACAAGAUGUCUGGCUUCCCACAAAAAUUCUGAGGCACAAAGAAAAUCAAGAAAAAAACAACACACUGCCAAGAGAUAGGAGAAGCAACAGAAUCAGAUUCAGAUAUUGCUGCAGAUAUUGGAAAUAUCAUAAAGAAGAGUGAAAAUAACCAUAAUUAAUAUGUUAAAUACUCUGAUGGAAAAGUUUGAUGACAAGCAAGAAUAGAUGUGUAAUUUCAGCAGAGAUGGAGUUGUAAGAAUGAAUCAAAUACCAAAGCUAAUUAUUAAAAGCUCAGAAGGAGAGAUGAAGAAUGCCUGUGAUGGUCUGAUCUGGAAACUCAACAGAGCUGAGGAAAGAAUCAAUGAACUUGAAGAUAGGUCAACAUAAGUUACCCAACCUAAAAAAUAAAAGGGGAGAAAAAAUCAGGGGUGGGGGGGGG